AUGGCUACAGGAACAGGCAAACACAAGCUGCUGAGUACUGGCCCCACAGAGCCAUGGUCCAUCCUAGAGAAACUGUGUUUGGCCUCCUCUGUCAUGAGAAGUGGAGAUCAAAAUUGGGUAACAGUUAGCAGAGCAAUUAAGCCGUUUGGAGAACCCGGCCGCCCUCCAAACUGGUUCUCUCAUAAACACUGUGCUUCUCAGUACUCAGAGCUCUUGGAGACCACUGAGACCCCAAAACGGAAACGCGGUGAAAAAGGAGAAGUGGUGGAAACUGUUGAAGAUGUUAUUGUUCAGGAACUGACUGCUGAGAGAAUUGAGGAACUAAAGAAACUGAUAAAGGAAACCCAGGAGAGCUACAGACGUUUGAAGAGAUGCAGAACUAAUUCAAGCAGACACAUGGACAGCAGACUGGAUGAGCUUUGCAGUGACACUACAAUGAAAAAGAAAUUAGGAGAAGAGGAGGCUGAAGUAAAGAGGAAGGCCACAGAUGCUGCGUACAAGCUCGUCAGGCAAUGAAAACACCCCCUCAGAGGUUGCCCACUGUGAUGGUCUGCUCUCCAACAGAUUCUGCCUCCCCAGGAGGUGAAUGUCCCCUUGGGGACCUGCAACUGCUAUGGAAGAGGCUGCCUCUGGGGUCAGUGAAAGUGAAAUGGCUGUGGCUUCCAGCCACUUGAACAGUACAGGUGUCCUUCUGGAGGUAGGUGGGGUCCUUCCCAUGAUUCCGGGGUGAGGAGAUACAGCAAUCACCCCACUGUUGCAGCCUGCCCUGCUGCCUCAGUGAGCCGGCCUGACACCUGUGCUCCUACAGAAGCUGUGGGAGAUCCACAUAGCGUGACUGUGUCCAUGGAUAGCAGUGAAAUCUCCAUGAUUCUUAAUUCUAUCAAAGAGUGUUUCCGAUCAGGGGUAGCAGAGACCUCUGGGGGAUCAAAGCUCCCAGCAUAGAUGAGAAGGAAGCCUUAGAUCUGGCUGAGAAGAUGAUAUUGCUGUGUCUUGCUCAAGUGAAGACUGAACUUUGAGACUGUUGGAGACAACAUUGCCAUCAUUGAAGAUAAGGCAGAUGAUCAUCCUGAAGUGUUGGAUGUGGCAGGCGUUAAGCAGCACUGUCAUUCUGGGAAGAGGAUGAUGAUGACCCCCAAUCCCUGCCUGGCCCUGGGAGCACCCAAUCCAGCAGGAGCGGGACAAGCCAGUACCUCUCCCUACACCAGAGACGACAGUCAGUAAGAGAGGUUGGACUUCAAAGAAACAGAAAAUGGGAAGCCAUGAUUUGGCAGACAUCAGGGAGUCUGGUGUUGAGAUCAGGGUGGAAUCUAUAGAACCAGACCCUGGCAUUUCAGGGGCUGAGACAGUACCUGGAGUUGUUCCAGCCACAAGUAUGGAGCCACCAGAACUCAGGAAUCAAGACUUAGAUGAGGAGCCCAGAAGUGCUGCAACUGGAGAGUGCUGAAGCAAAUGGUUUCAGGGGGAAAACUGCUAAGACGCCACUCACAUCUGUGAAGACAGAGGCAUCCCCUGCAAACACGCUGUCUCCAUCACUCAACUCCAAUCUUACCGAAGCUCCUUUAGCGGGAGAGAUGCAGCACAAGUGUGAAAGAACUUCAGACUCAUUGAAAGAACAAUCAGGGACUAUUUUUGGAAGCCAGAUAAACGAUGCCCUGGGUGAGGAUGAGGAGGAAGAUGGAGUGACGCAGCCAGUCUAGAAGAACCUAAGGGAGAUCAAGCCAAGCUACUUGUCAGAAAUGGAUAACGAACCCCCUUGAGCCCAGUGAUGAUGGCUUUAGCGCACACAAUGCUGCACUGCAGGCACACACACCGGCAGACUGUAUCCCUAGCAGCCCUGCUUCGUCACAAUUCUCUGUCUGCAGUGAGGUUCAAGAAGCCAUUCAGGCCCAGAAAAUAUGGAGGAAAACCCUCAUGCUUGUCUGGAGGGCUGCAGCUAAUCACAGACAUGCCAGUGUCUCUCUGCAGGCUGUUACAGAUGAUGUGGCACCUGGUUGCCACAGCACUGUGCAGAGACCUAUGGAUUUGUCAACUACUAAGAAAAACACUGAAAAUGGGCUGAUUCGCAGUGCUGCUGCAUUUCAGCGUGACAUUAUGCUGAUGUCCCAGAAUGCCGUAGGUCUGCCCAUGAUGUCUAUCGCAUGGUGGCAGAGACGCAGCGAGAUAUCUUGGCACCGAUACAGCAAUUCUUGGCCACACAGUGGAUUAUGCAAACAUCUGAGUGCGGGACCAGUGCUAAAAGUCCCUGAGAGAGAGAUUCUACCCGAAAGCAGGAUGCUUCUGAGAAGGAUAGGGGAACCAGGGGACACAGCUGUGCCACUGAAGCAGACAUGAAGAUGAAAAAGUGA